rnacentral:lncRNA from 1 species
AUGGUUGUCACAGGGAUUUAAAAGAGAAACCGAGGCUGGGAAUGAGAGGGGCAGCCUCCCUCUGUAUCUCUCUCUAUUCACUGAGCUGAGUUGUCUUUUCAUCACUGAAGGGCUUUGAGACCCUCCCUCCAGCUUUUCCAGCAGUAGCGUGUGCAGUCAGCCCCCCAAGUGAGCAGACGUUUAC